GGAAAUUUAUAUACUCCAGUUUUAGGGAGUAAGGGAAGAGGUAAAGGCCUUGUCCUGCAAUCAAUGUGGUUGUUUUAGCUCAAAACAAUCUAUAUGCCUGUUAAAGCAAACUAAAUAUGGCCGGAGAAGGACUCCAUACUUCUAUAUUUGAGUCCUCAUGGAUGAACUGCAACCUAGCUUAACAGUCAGAAAAAAUGGAAAACCUAGCUUAAUAGUAUGCACCUGUAACAAUGGCUGAGUGUUGGCCAAUCCUAGUGGCCAUGCUUCAACCACUCAUAGACUGCUGAAUGUUCAAACUGUGUUCAAAUAAGGCAAACGCCGAGCUAUAACCAAUCUCACUGUUUCUGUACCUCGCUUCUGAUUCCUGUACAUCGCUUUACUUCUUUUGUCUAUAAAUUUGUUUUGACCAUGAGGCACCCCUGGAGUCUCUGUGAAUCUGCUGUGAUUCUGGGGGCUGCCCAAUUCGCGAAUCAUUCAUUCCUCAAUUGAACUCCUUUAAAUUUAAUUCUGCUGAGGUUUUUCUUUUAUCAUGUCAAUGAGGCCUAAUUUCCCAUGGCAUUUCUGGUGCCCUUCUCCCUCUGCAUAAGGUGCAAUGUGGAGUGCACAAGGCUGAUUUAAUUCCUUCUUUCUUGAGUGCUAUCUCUGCCAAUGCAUUAUGUGCUUCUUAUAUGUAUAUCACAGAGUGAGGGGUUACUUAUCAGUCUCUGCAGCGAUGCACCGAAAAAGACCCAUCUCAUAGAAAAAUGGAAGUUAAAUAAGAGAGAGAAAUAAUUCUUUGAUACCCCCCUACAACUUGUCUAAAAUGAACACCUCCCUUUUCAUACAUGGGCUAAAUGCAAAUGCCUUAGGAGGGGUUACACACUGAUUUACAUUCACCCUAAAACAUAAAUGAUGUUUCAGAUUUUAGUUUUGAUCAGUGUGUUAGUGCAUUCUCACAUUGCUAUAAAGAAAUACCUGGGACCGGGUAAUUUAUAAAAAAAGGAAUUUAAUUGGCUUACGGUUCUGCAAGCUAUGCUUCCUGUACAGCCUGCACCAGCGCCAGCAUCUACUUGGCUUCUGGGGAGGCCUCAGGAAGCUACAAUCAUGGCAGAAGGCAAAGGGAAGCAGGCACACCACAUGGAGAAAGCACGUGGAAGAGAGAGGGGGAAGGCGCCACACACUUUUAACAACCACAUCUUUCGAGAACUCACUGUCAUGAGAACAGCACCAAGAGGAUGGUGCUAGACCAUUCGUGAGAAAUCUACCCCCAUGAUCCAAUCACCUCCCACCAGGCCCCACCUUCACCACUGGGGAUUACAUUUUGACAUGAGAUUUGGUGGGGGACAACAUCUAAACUCUCUCAAUCAGUGAUUACAAAUGGGAGAAUGAGGUGUUAGGACACUCAAAGAUGAAAAGAAGUAACUUGUUAGAAGUGGCACACUGGCCACUGAGCUCUUACUAUAGGCAGGGAUGGUAUAGGGGUCCUGUAAGAGAAGGUGGGCAAUAAGGGAGAAGAGAAGGGUGCAGGAUUGAGCAGCUGUGGCUCCUAAAUUGUCAUCAUCAUUUUCAUAGCUAUGGUAAUCACCAACCCUGUUGAAUAAAAGCCAUCUUGUCCAAGAGGUAUAUAGUCCAAGCAAUUCAAAGACCCUGAGACAGUCCUGCCAUUGAAACCCAGAUUUUUUUCAGGUGCUCCUGAAAAUACUCAUUGCUCUAGACCUUUGCUGUUUUCAAGUCUUGGGUACAUAGCAAUCCCUGUAUCCCCAGUAGGUAUAGCUGGUUUCUUUAUAUUUUGCCAUUGUAUUCUGUAUUGUGUAGUAUAUAUGACCAGACAUUAGUACUAGAAGAAAGAAGCUUUGGAGAUGUUGAACGCUUCCCUUUACAGUUGAAAAAGGUCAAGCUGGGGGAUUAAGUGAUUUGUUUCAAAUACCCCAACCAGUUAAUGGCCGUGGAAGGAUGAGAAUUAUUGCCUGUCUUACUAACACCUCCUUCUAAGGAAAACUGGCUUAUCUGCAGGUAGCUAUCUUGGGAAACUCGUGACCCCAAUUCCCUGUGACAGUCCAUUGAACCAGCAUGGUCAUCUGACCCAUGUACAGUCGAUCUUUUGAUUUGUUCACAACCUUUGACACAUGACCUUGGCCAAUCAGAUUUCCCCCCUUAGAAAUGUGAACCAAGAAACGGAAGCUGAAAUUGCUAAUGUCGUAAUAUGGAGGGCAUUUGCAUGGCUAUGGUGAAGCAUGCAGUUGAGACUGGGAGGGAGCCUGAACUGUAAAGGAGAGAGUAAAGGGAACAGGGCACAUUCGGCAAGCAAAAGUCCUAGAAGGAGCAACCACAUGGCCCAUGUGAGAGAGGAAUUAGCCUGGGUUUCUGUCAGAGGCGUUCGAACCAGAGCGACUUCAUCUUGAGUGAGAGCUAGGAAAAUGGGGCUGAGACUUGCUGGGUUGCGCUCCCAGAAAGUUAGGUAUUCCUGGCCUCUAGAUGUUUAUGGUUAAGGGAACAGAUGGAUAACAUUUACUAAACAGACCUAGGCUUAGGAGUGUUCUUGUAUCCUGAUAUCUUGAGAACAGAAGCAUUCCUAAUUUUGCCUUAAAGAAAAUAAUAGCGAUUCUUGCAAAAUACAAUAAUUAAGAAAAUUAAUGCUUUAUCACAAAUCCUUGCAGCAGAACACAUCUCCCUGUAAUCUAUUUUUUAUCCUAUAUAUAAACAAAUGUUGUACCUAGGGUGAACACAUUCUUCCUCUUGCUUUCAGGAAUACCGUACUCUGCCUGUGGACGAGCUAUUCUUUCACCACUUUACUUUCUUGAUAAACUUGCUUUCACUUUACAGGCUCGUCCUGAAUUCUUUCUUGUGCGAGAUCAAGAAUCCUCUCUUGGGGUCUGGAUCAGGACCCUUUUUCCUGUAACACUUCCAUGGUUCCUGGGGUAGCUCUGGUUCCAGCUCCAGUUCCAGCAAAAGCCCAUUUGCACCCAGCCACCCCGCUUCUUAAAUGAAAGAUAAUUUUGGCAUCUAUUUCUUGAUACCAGCAGAUGCCGAUUGGGACAUGACAGAGCCAGGACUAGCUGCUAGGUUUCCUGGCUCCCAGCUUAUGUUUUUUUCCACUAUACUUUACUAUGUCCUGCAUGCCUCCUAGAGUUUUUUAACCUGUUGACGGCCAGGAAUAGUUUAUUUAACUUGGUAUGCCUUUAACUACCUGGACUUUACUCCAUAAAAAUUGAUUGACUUGAAUUUAAUUAUCGGUAAUUCCAAAAUUAUGAGUGGUGUCCUUUCUGAAUUUAUUUUUCUAGAAUAUAAGCUUUUUUCCUUGCUAAAAGUACCAACACUUUACAAUAUUUUCAGGUGAACAAUUUAUGCUCUAGAAGAAAUUGUUGUCUGUAGGGCAGGUGCCCCUGGCCAAAAGAAGAGCACUCUUUUCUGGCUGUGCUCAGCCAUCCUGGGCUGUGAAUGAUGGGAAAGUUGCUCUGUUCUGAAUCGCAAAUUCACGGCUUUCCUUGAUGCAGUUCUCAACUCACAGGCUUCUUCAUCUUGCAAAUUAACUACAACUAUCCACCUGUGAGAGUUUCAGGGAAAGUUCAUGAAAGUUGUGAUGCUUACAAUUUUAUAAAUCAGCAAAUCAUUUUCCUGAAAGAGACUUCUUCAGGAGAUAGAUUCUCUUGUUAUUGUACUGUCUCAGUUAUCUAUUGCUGUAAAAUAAAUCGUCCCAAAGCUUAGUGGCUUAAAAACAACUCUUUAUUACCUAACACAAGUCUAUAGCUGGCUGUGUUUAGCUGGUAUAUUCUUCUGCUCCACGUGGGCUCACCUGCACUGGAACAUCCAGGAAGGCUGACUCACAUGGCUGCACAGUAGCUGUCAGCCAAGAACCUCACCGUUGUGUCAAAUGUCUUAGUUCUCAUCCACAGUGCAUCUCUGGGGGCUUCUCACAGUGUAUUCACUGGGUCCCUCCAGGGAGUGUUCUAAGAGACAGAAGCCUCAGAUCUCUUAAAGCCCAACCGUGUGGGUGACACAGCAUCAAUGGCUGCCAUAGUCUACUGAUCAAAAGUAGUCACAGGCCAACCCAGAUUUAAGGGGAUGGGAGACAGACCCUAUCUCUGAGUGGAAGAAGUGGUAACACUGCAUGGCCGUUUUUAACCAGCCACAGUUCUUGAUGACAAUUUCCUAAUGGAAAAGAUCUUUCUUCUACAGGACUCUAGAAUAGCGUUUCUCAGGUGUUAAUGUGCAAAGAAUCAUCCCGUGAUCCUGUUAAAAUGUAGGUUCUGAUUCAGUAGGUCUGGGGUGAGGCUUGAGAACCUGCGUUUCUAACAAGCUCCCAGGGAUGCAGCAGGCACCUGCAGAGCUGUUAAAACAGAUUCCUCCCACUCCUUUCCUCUGCUCUAGAAAAAUCCUCCAAAUCCUGAAAACAUCUGGAGAGAAGCAGAAGGAGAUGGUAGAAGCUGAGGCCCCACAGUGGAGCAACUUUGAUUUCCAUUGAUUUUACGAAGACACUACCACAAAGAAAUGGCAAAAUCAAUGUUGGCCAUUUAUGCAGAUAAAAUAUAACUGUCAGGUGGAAAAUAAAACCUAGGCAAACACUAAGUGUAUCCCCUGAACCAUCUUAAAUGUGGUUUGUGUACUCAUGUGGUUGAGUCCUCAUGGAUGAACUGCAACCUAGCUUAACAGUCAGAAAAGAUGGAAAACAGUCAGAAAAAAAUGGAAAAAGUGUACACCUGACAUUGGCAAACUUUUAACAGUGAGCCUUAUGGUCUUCACCAAUUUCAGGUGCUCCAUUCCCCAACCCUACCCCACUUCUUCAAGUCAGUUCAGUAAAUAGUUACUGAUCCCUUAUUCAGCAGAAAGCACUGUAUCGGAUACUGUAGGUGCAGAGAGAAGACAGCCCAGCAUUCUUUCCCUACAGAACAUUAUACUUUGGUAGGGAGACAAGUGACAUACAUAAGCCUCCAUCAGUUCAUUAAGUGUUUAUUAUUGCAAC
rnacentral:lncRNA from 1 species